CAUUACUUCCCAUGCCGUCCUAAUGCUAUGUUUGAUUGUGGAAGAUAAUUUAAAGGGAGGAAUUAGAUGGAUUCAAAAUCAUAAGGAGAAUUUUGUAAGGAGAUGGCAUGAUUGCAUUUUUAAAUACAAUGUAAAAUCUGCCAUUUCAUGCUGUGUACAUUAAGUUUUCGAUAAAAUGUUUCAGUGAGACUAGUAUGCUAAAAUUUGAGAAUCAACAUGCUCUGCAGUCUGAUAUGCGGAGGUACCAUGUAGGCAUGUAGUUAGCGUGUACUAUGUCAAUUAUUCGUACAAUACGUCAGUAACGAAGGAGCACUUGGUCACAGAAGUUAUGACUUGGUUUUGUCUUUUUUUUUUAAGGGCAAAACUAUUGAUUUUGACACGUUUUAUUGAAUACAUGAUUGAAUUUUUAAUUUUUUAAAUAACUUGACUGAACUAAUUAUUAUUGUUAAAUCGGGCAAUUCUAUUAAAUCUGGUUCACGGACGUUAAAUCUUUUCAACUAUUAUUUGACGUAGAUUUAAAAAAGAAAAGAAAAAAAAAAGAGAAAAUGGCACGGCCUUGUCAUACGUGGGCCCCAUCUGCAACACACUGCCCCAAAACUAGCCCAACUACCGGCUAGCACAACCCUCUGGCAGUAGAACUAGCCAACGACAGAGCAGAUAAAAUUCAAUCAAAAACACCCAAAUUGAUUCAAUCAGAAAAGCUAAAAUAAUGAAAGCUCGUGAAUCAGGAGGGAACAACCAGGAAAAAACCUCAUGAAUUCCGACCAAAGGUCAAUAAACACGGACCGGCAAAAUCCCCUGCAAACCAGCAACAACCCACAAUACAGAUGAAUUGUCAAAGGACGGUAACAAGGAAAAGAGACCCAUCAGCCUAAGUAAAAUUAAAUAAGCAGCAAUACAGAAAAACAUUGACUGAAAGCACUAAGGACUGGAUCUGAACAUGAACAAAUAUAUGCAAUAAUCAAACAUAAACCCAAAUCGGGAAGCACACGGAACAGCAGAAGCAGGGCACAAGACCCAUUCGUGAAAUCAUAAGACCACAAAUUCAUUACCAUCAGAACCGUAGGACGUAAAAAAGUCCGAACCCAGAUUCCGGAGAGCUAACCUCCAAGAUCCAAAAACCCCCAAACCAUUAAACCCCAAGCAAACACCACAUCAGAUCAUAACACCCACUACCAUCACACAUCAGAUCAUAACACCCACUAAUUCCGUAGGGCUGAUUAUUUUAUGGGUGAUUUGAGGGUUUUUGAUAUUGAGUUAGACUCAGAGGACAGAGGACAUGAGGGUUUGGAUGAUUUUGCAUUAGGUAAUGAUGAUAAGAGUUUUAGUAGUCUUCAAAUUUGUACAUGAGCGAAAGCCACGUAUGAAAAGACCAUGUCAUUUUCUCUUCUUUUUUUUUCUUUUUUAAGUCCACGUUAGAUAAUAAUCGAAAAGAUUUAACGUCCGUGAAUCAGAUUUAACAGAAUGACCCAAUUUAAC
rnacentral:lncRNA from 1 species